CUGAACCAAAUAGGAGUAACCAUGGCC
rnacentral:piRNA from 1 species